rnacentral:rRNA from 1 species
UACGUAGGGUGCAAGCGUUGUCCGGAAUUAUUGGGCGUAAAGAGCUCGUAGGCGGUCUGUCGCGUCUGCUGUGAAAACCUGGGGCUCAACUCCGGGCCUGCAGCCGAUACGGGCGAACUAGAAUUCGGUAGGGGAGACUGGAAUUCCUGGUGUAGCGGUGAAAUGCGCAGAUAUCAGGAGGAACACCGGUGGCGAAGGCGGGUCUCUGGGCCGAUACUGACGCUGAGGAGCGAAAGCGUGGGGAGCGAACAGG